rnacentral:rRNA from 1 species
GCUCUGGCUGGGCGGUCUGCCUGUCAUGGGCACGUACUGCUAUUUUCCGGCUGGAGCUAUUCCUUCUGGAGAGCGCGCAUGCCCUUUGCUGGGUGUGUGCGGGAUUCAGGACUUUUACUUUGAAAAAAUUAGAGUGUUUAAAGCAGGCGUAGGCUUGAAUACAUUAGCAUGGAAUAAUAGAAUAGGACCAUGGUUCUAUUUUGUUGGUUUCUAGGACCAAGGUA